GUGCCAGCAGCCGCGGUAAGACGGAGGGUGCAAGCGUUGUUCGGAAUCAUUGGGCGUAAAGCGCGCGCAGGCGGCCGAGCAUGUCCGAUGUGAAACCCCGGGGCUUAACUCCGGAGGCGCAUCGGAAACUGUUCGGCUUGAGUCCGGGAGGGGCCUGUGGAAUUCCUGGUGUAGGGGUGAAAUCCGUAGAGAUCAGGAGGAACACCGGCGGCGAAAGCGACAGGCUGGACCGGGACUGACGCUGAGGCGCGAAAGCGCGGGUAGCGAACAGGAUUAGAUACCCGAGUAGUCC
rnacentral:rRNA from 1 species